GUCAGUGAUGCUGCUCGGUUUGCAGUCCUGAAUAUCACGGCACAAGCAGGAUUCACUGCACUGUUAAUGUUAGGGUGGCCAGGCGGCCCGGUCCGGGUUUUUUCUUCCUUCUUUCACACGCCUGGUGGGCGGUGCCACCCGAUCACAAGGGCUGGCAAGGCUUUCGGAGCCUGGGGAGCGGACACCCGCACAAAGGGUGGCCAGGCGGCCCGGUCCGGGUUUUUUCUUCCUUCUUUCACACGCCUGGUGGGCGGUGCCACCCGAUCACAAGGGCUGGCAAGGCUUUCGGAGCCUGGGGAGCGGACACCCGCACAAAGGGUGGCCAGGCGGCCCGGUCCGGGUUUUUUCUUCUUUCUUUCACACGCCUGGUGGGCGGUGCCACCCGAUCACAAGGGCUGGCAAGGCUUUCGGAGCCUGGGGAGCGGACACCCGCACAAAGGGUGGCCAGGCGGCCCGGUCCGGGUUUUUUCUUCUUUUCUUCUUUCUUUCACACGCCUGGUGGGCGGUGCCACCCGAUCACAAGGGCUGGCAAGGCUUUCGGAGCCUGGGGAGCGGACACCCGCACAAAGGGUGGCCAGGCGGCCCGGUCUGGGUUUUUUCUUCUUUUCUUCUUUCUUUCACACGCCUGGUGGGCGGUCCCACCCGAUCACAAGGGCUGGCAAGGCUUUCGGAGCCUGGGGAGCGGACACCCGCACAAAGGGUGGCCCAGCGGCCCGGUCCGGGUUUUUUCUUCUUUUCUUCUUUCUUUCACACGCCUGGUGGGCGGUGCCACCCGAUCACAAGGGCUGGCAAGGCUUUCGGAGCCUGGGGAGCGGACACCCUCACAAAGGGUGGCCAGGCGGCCCGGUCCGGGUUUUUCUUCUUUUCUUCUUUCUUUCACACGCCUGGUGGGCGGUGCCACCCGAUCACAAGGGCUGGCAAGGAUUUCGGAGCCUGGGGAGCGGACACCCGCACAAAGGGUGGCCAGGCGGCCCGGUCCGGGUUUUUUCUUCUUUUCUUCUUUCUUUCACACGCCUGGUGGGCGGUGCCACCCGAUCACAAGGGCUGGCAAGGCUUUCGGAGCCUGGGGAGCGGACACCCGCACAAAGGGUGGCCAGGCGGCCCGGUCCGGGUUUUUUCUUCUUUCUUCUUUCUUUCACACGCCUGGUGGGCGGUGCCACCCGAUCACAAGGGCUGGCAAGGCUUUCGGAGCCUGGGGAGCGGACACCCGCACAAAGGGUGGCCAGGCGGCCCGGUCCGGGUUUUUUCUUCUUUUCUUCUUUCUUUCACACGCCUGGUGGGCGGUGCCACCCGAUCACAAGGGCUGGCAAGGCUUUCGGAGCCUGGGGAGCGGACACCCGCACAAAGGGUGGCCAGGCGGCCCGGUCCGGGUUUUUUCUUCCUUCUUUCACACGCCUGGUGGGCGGUGCCACCCGAUCACAAGGGCUGGCAAGGCUUUCGGAGCCUGGGGAGCGGAUAUCCCCACAAAGGGUGGCCAGGCGGCCCGGUCCGGGUUUUUUCUUCUUUCUCUUUCUUUCACACGCCUGGUGGGCGGUGCCACCCGAUCACAAGGGCUGGCAAGGCUUUCGGAGCCUGGGGAGCGGAUAUCCCCACAAAGGGUGGCCAGGCGGCCCGGUCCGGGUUUUUUCUUCCUUCUUUCACACGCCUGGUGGGCGGUGCCACCCGAUCACAAGUGCUGGCAAGGCUUUCCGAGCCUGGGGAGCGGACACCCGCACAAAGGGUGGCCAGGCGGCCCGGUCCGGAGUUUUUCUUCUUUUCUUCUUUCUUUCACACGCCUGGUGGGCGGUGCCACCCGAUCACAAGGGCUGGCAAGGCUUUCGGAGCCUGGGGAGCGGACACCCGCACAAAGGGUGGCCAGGCGGCCCGGUCCGGGUUUUUUUCUUCUUUUCUUCUUUCUUUCACACGCCUGGUGGAAAAUUUACCUUCUCGCUGUUGACUAUCAAUCUAGAUUUGUUGAGAUUUCUUUGUUAAACAGAACAAAAUCAAACAAUGUCAUUACUCACGUGAAAUCUUUCUUUGCCCGUCAUGUCAUCCCAGAGGUCCUCAUGUCUGAUAAUGGGCCACAGUGUUCAGGUCAAAUCUUUACAGACUUCGCAGCAGCGUACGGCUUUAAACACAUCACAAGCAGCCCCAAGUUUCUGUAAAGUAAUGGAGAAGCAGAACGUGCUGUGCAGACUGUAAAAAAUCUUCUGAAAAAAGCAGCUGAUCCUUAUCUAGCUCUUCUUGCCUAUAG
ensembl:lncRNA